rnacentral:miRNA from 1 species
ACUUGUAACAACCUUGUUGAUAUUAUCAGACUUGUUGCAAGGUUGUUCCAACAAGUCUGAUACAGUCAUGAUAUGACAAUAUUGUUACAACCUUGUGUCAUCAACCUUGUAACAUUCCUGUUAUAUCAUGACUGCAUCAGACUUGUUAGAACAACCUUGUAACAAGUCUGAUAAUGCCAUCACGCUUGUUACAAGU